rnacentral:rRNA from 1 species
CCUACGGGAGGCAGCAGUGGGGGAUAUUGCACAAUGGGGGGAACCCUGAUGCAGCGACGCCGCGUGGGUGAUGAAGCGCCUCGGGGUGUAAAGCCCUGUCAGCAGGGAAGUAAAUGACGGUACCUGAGGAAGAAGCCCCGGCUAACUACGUGCCAGCAGCCGCGGUAAUACGUAGGGGGCAAGCGUUAUCCGGAUUUACUGGGUGUAAAGGGGGCGCAGACGGGGAUGCAAGACAGGAGGGAAAGCCCGGGGCCCAACCCCGGGACUGCUAUUGGAACUGCGUGGCUGGAGUGCAGGAGGGGUAGGCGGAAUGCGUGGUGUAGCGGUGAAAUGCGUAGAUAUCAGGAGGAACACCGGUGGCGAAGGCGGCCUGCUGGACUGCAACUGACGUUGAGGCCCGAAAGCGUGGGGAGCAAACAGGAUUAGAUACCCCAGUAGUC